rnacentral:rRNA from 1 species
UACGUAGGGUGCGAGCGUUGUCCGGAAUUAUUGGGCGUAAAGAGCUUGUAGGCGGUCUGUCGCGUCUGCUGUGAAAUCCGGGGCUCAACCCCGGACUUGCAGUGGGUACGGGCAGACUAGAGUGUGGUAGGGGAGACUGGAAUUCCUGGUGUAGCGGUGAAAUGCGCAGAUAUCAGGAGGAACACCGAUGGCGAAGGCAGGUCUCUGGGCCACUACUGAC